rnacentral:rRNA from 1 species
UCCGGCGGCACGGGAUGGGCCCGCGCCCGAUUAGCCAGUUGGCGGGGUAACGGCCCACCAAAGCGACGAUCGGUAGCCGGCCUGAGAGGGCGGACGGCCACAUUGGGACUGAGACACGGCCCAAACUCCUACGGGAGGCAGCAGUGGGGAAUAUUGCACAAUGGGGGAAACCCUGAUGCAGCAACGCCGCGUGGGUGAAGGAGCGUUUCGGCGCGUAAAGCCCUGUCAGCGGGGAAGAAGAAAGACGGUACCCGACCAAGAAGCCCCGGCCAACUACGUGCCAGCAGCCGCGGUAAUACGUAGGGGGCGAGCGUUAUCCGGAAUUACUGGGUGUAAAGGGAGCGUAGACGGCGAGGUAAGCCUGAAGUGGAAGCCCGCGGCCCAACCGCGGAACUGCUUUGGGAACUGUUUUGCUGGAGUAUGGGAGGGGUAAGCGGAAUUCCUGGUGUAGCGGUGAAAUGCGUAGAUAUCAGGAGGAACACCGGUGGCGAAGGCGGCUUACUGGACCAUAACUGACGUUGAGGCUCGAAAGCGUGGGGAGCGAACAGGAUUAGAUACCCUGGUAGUCCACGCCGUAAACGAUGAUUACCAGGUGUCGGGUGUCGAAGGACGGCCG